AGAAAUCCUAUUCGUGUUGCCAUUUACAGGUGAGCAAACCGGGGCUCCAAGAGGUUCAAUACAUUGGCAAAGUUCACAGAGUUAACAAGUGGCAUGAUCAGGACCCACACCCAAAGGAAUAAUGAUAAUUAUCUCCAAUCCUCAUAGGAGGUGAACCCAGUUGUGUGCUGAAGCCAGUUUAUACCAGCUCAUGAUAGUGUCCCAGCUGCUGUUAGAGUAGGACAAAGCGCUGUAAGUGCUGCGUCUGGCGUUAUGAACCAGCUGAUGUCCUGAAGCAAGGGGAAAAGCUCCCUGGAGUCCUAUGCAGACCACAGCCCAUGCGAAAGCCUGCACUACAACUUUCUGCUUUGUCUCAAGACUAAAGAUGUUGCCAGCAAUAACUCCUGGUGCCGACAUGUCUGAUGUGUGCCGCCUCCUGGAGGAGCCAAGAGACUUAGUGUCAAAGAAUACCAGUCACACCAGCCCCCAGCAACUGGACAGCUAUGAAAGAAUGGCCUCUCUUCAGUUUGUACCAGUUGCAUUUAGUGCACCCUCUGCUGGCUGGAAGUAGCAGCAAAUAACCUCCUGAGUUCAGCAUGAGAUCUGCUGGGAUAGACGGGAAAGGAAGAAAGUGGAUACGAACACAGUCCCUGCUGUAUUCCAGCCAGUGUCUCCUACAUGUCCA
rnacentral:lncRNA from 1 species